rnacentral:snoRNA from 1 species
UUUGCUGUGAUGAGACGUAAACACUAGAAAGCCAACUGAUCAAUUGGUUCUUCAGUGAAAUUUACACUUGGCUUCUUAGCUCA